AUCUUGAGGUGCUUGCACCUCUUGGUUAGCGGCGGACGGGUGAGUAACACGUGGGCAACCUGCCUGUAAGACUGGGAUAACUUCGGGAAACCGGAGCUAAUACCGGAUAAUCCUUUUCCUCUCAUGARGAAAAGCUGAAAGUCGGUUUCSGCUGACACUUACAGAUGGGCCCGCGGCGCAUUAGCUAGUUGGUGAGGUAACGGCUCACCAAGGCGACGAUGCGUAGCCSACCUGAGAGGGUGAUCGGCCACACUGGGACUGAGACACGGCCCAGACUCCUACSGGAGGCAGCAGUAGGGAAUCUUCCGCAAUGGACGAAAGUCUGACGGARCAACGCCGCGUGAGCGAUGAARGCCUUCSGGUCGUAAAGCUCUGUUGUUAGGGAAGAACAAGUACCGGAGUAACUGCCGGUACCUUGACGGKACCUAACCARAAAGCCACGGCUAACUACGUGCCARCARCCGCGGUAAUACSUAGGUGGCAAGCGUUGUCCGGAAUUAUUGGGCGUAAAGCGCGCGCAGGCGGUCCUUUWAGUCUGAUGUGAAAGCCCACGGCUCAACCGUGGAGGGUCAUUGGAAACUGGGGGACUUGAGUACAGAAGAGGAAAGCGGAAUUCCACGUGUAGCGGUGAAAUGCGUAGAGAUGUGGARGAACACCAGUGGCGAAGGCGGCUUUCUGGUCUGUWACUGACGCUGAGGCGCGAAAGCGUGGGGAGCAAACAGGAUUAGAUACCCUGGUAGUCCACGCCGUAAACGAUGAGUGCUAAGUGUUAGAGGGUUUCCGCCCUUUAGUGCUGCAGCUAACGCAUUAAGCACUCCGCCUGGGGAGUACGGCCGCRAGGCUGAAACUCAAAGGAAUUGACGGGGGCCCGCACAAGCGGUGGAGCAUGUGGUUUAAUUC
rnacentral:rRNA from 1 species